CAGGAGCCUAAAGAGAUGUCUUUCUAUGGUCUGUUGGCCAUUUCAGAACUUGGGCAGUGAAAUGGUCAGUUCAUUAGAAAGAAACAGCU
rnacentral:snoRNA from 1 species